GUCCUCACUUCGGCUGCACAUAUACUAAAAUUGAAACGAUACAGAGAAGAUUAAUGUGGCCCCUGCACAAGGAUGACAUGCAGGUUCAGGAAGUGUUCCUUAUUUUU